rnacentral:rRNA from 1 species
AUACGUAGGGUGCGAGCGUUAUCCGGAAUCAUUGGGCGUAAAGAGCUCGUAGGCGGUUCAGCAAGUCGGCUGUGAAAGUUCGAGGCUCAACCUCGAAAUUGCAGUCGAUACUGCUGUGACUCGAGUCCGGUAGAGGAGAAUGGAAUUCUCGGUGUAGCGGUGAAAUGCGCAGAUAUCGAGAGGAACACCAGUAGCGAAGGCGGUUCUCUGGGCCGGCACUGACGCUGAGGAGCGAAAGCGUGGGGAGCAAACAGGAUUAGAAACCCCAGUAGUCC